GUGCUCGCUUCAGCAGCACACAUGCUAAAAUUAGAAAAAUACGGCGAUUAGCCUGGGCCCCAUGCAGGAUGACACUCUAGUGAAGUGUUCCAUGCUCUU
rnacentral:snRNA from 1 species